AUGGCUACAUUAUCAGCAGCCAGUGCUGUAGGAUGGGUUCUAUCUCCUGUUAUUACAAGGAUGGUUUCUUUGGUGCAGUCCUAUUUGUCCAGCCAGUAUAAGUGGAAAUCUGAGAUGGUAUCUGAUCUCAAUAAUUUGAAGGCAACUUUAAUGGAUAUAUUCAUUGUAGUUAGUGCAGCUGAAAGGCAACGUGUAGUGGACACAAAUCAGAUUCUGUUGUUGCAGCAAAUGAAAGAUGCAGUCUCUGAUGCAGAUGAUGUCUUGGAUGAAUUUGAUUACAUGCUUUUAAAAGAAAAGGCGCAAAAAGACCUGCUCAGCCGCAUAGCCACCUCUUCCCUCUCUAUUGGCAAGCGUUUGGUCAAUGUUGACAAGUUUAGGUCAGAACUGCGGAAGGUUCUCAAAAGCUUGGAGAGAGUUAGAACUUCUGCAGAGAUAUUUGUCCGAGUGAUGACACUGGAGAGCGAUAAACCCAUUCAGUCUCUUCGGUAUGUCCCAACAAGAACCACCGGGUCCUUUUUGCAUGAAGAUGUGAUUUUUGGGCGAGAAAAGGAGAUACCGGAGCUCGUGGGUCAGCUCGUGUAUAAAUCUGAUGAAUGUUCACUGAACAAUGAGCAAAACUUUAGGACUGAGGUGCUUGGUGUUGGUGGGAUCGGCAAGACUACUCUGGCUCAGCUGGUCUAUAAGGAUGAGCGCAUCGUGGAUUCUUUUGAUGUCAGAAUGUGGGUUAGUGUUUCCGGUAACUUCGACAAAACUAGAGUUAUCAAAGAGAUCAUAGCAUCCACAACUGAUGGUGAGAGUGCUGAAUUGGCCAAUUUUAAUUUCAGCCGGCUCCAGUCAGAACUUCAAUGGAGACUUCGUUCGAAGAGGUUUCUCUUAGUGUUGGAUGAUGUGUGGUACGAUGAGAAACAUGGAGAACACAUCAACAAACAAAUGUGGAUGGAAAUAAUAGCUCCUAUUAAGGAAAGUUCUGUAAUCUCUGGAAGUAAGGUUCUAGUGACAACCCGGACAGAAUUGGUUGCAAAAAUGCUGGACUCUAGAAGCUUGUUCACUUUACAAGGUUUGGAAGGAGAUGAUAGUUGGUUACUGUUCAGACGGUGUGCAUUUGGCAGCAGUAAGCCAGAAGGUUAUCCAGAGUUGAAGCAGUUAGGAUACCAAAUUGUUCAGAAACUUAAAGGCUCACCUCUAGCACUAAAGGUUAUCGGAGGACAUUUAAAUGGAAAAUACAGUGAUGCGGAGUGGGAGGAUGUUCUUCACAAAGAUGUCCUCAAUCCAAAUGAUAUUUUGACAACCUUACACUUCAGUUAUGAAAAUUUGCCGGAACACCUCCAGCAGUGCUUUGUAUAUUGUAGUUUAUUCCCAAAAGGUUACCGUAUUGAUUCAAAUAGAUUAAUCUGGAUGUGGAUAGCUCAGGGCCUUGUUCAUCUAGAAGGAUAUAACAGUAGAAGCUUGGAAGAUAUUGGAAGGAGCUAUUUCAAUGAUCUGUUAGUUCGGUCAUUUUUCCAAAAACUCUGCUGCGGUGAUCAAACAUAUUACACUAUGCAUGAUUCAAUGAAUGACCUCGCACUUCAUGUUUCCCAUGGCGAAUGCUUUAGGAUUGACCAUGGCAGCAUUGGGGUGUUACCUUAUCAUAUUAGGCAUUUGUCUGUGUCUGCCGAACAAUUUGGAGAUCUUGUGAACUAUGAUGGUCUUGGAAGAUUGAGGACAUUUAUAGUUCUGAAUGAUUCUUGGUUCUGCUCCAAAGACUAUCUGAGUCAUGAUAUACUCGAGAAACUCAAGAGUGUCCGGGUGUUGGAUUUAACCGGAUGCUGCUUUGGAAACUUGCCAAAAGCUGUCAGUGAUCUGAGGCACCUGCGUUAUAUAGCCAUCCGACGCACUUAUUACCCACUGCCCACAACAAUCUCCAGACUCAAUCAUCUACAGUCCUUGUUUGUGCAGUAUCAUUCGUGUUAUCCUGUGAAGAUAUCUUGCUCAAACAAUAGAAAACAUCUGAAAUAUUCAAGCAGGAAUGCUACUGGACGCUAUUUCAGUCUUCCUGAAAGCAUUAGCAGGCUUAUUAACUUGGAGCAUGUCGAUGUAGAGAAGGCUUACACUCACAUUAUCAGGUAUACAUCAGCUUCCGUGCAUUGA
rnacentral:rRNA from 1 species